GCGUAGGUGGGCAGGUAAGUCAGUGGUGAAAUCUCUGGGCUUAACCCAGAAACUGCCGUUGAUACUAUCUGUCUUGAAUGUAGUGGAGGUGAGCGGAAUAUGUCAUGUAGCGGUGAAAUGCUUAGAUAUGACAUAGAACAUCUAUUGCGAAGGCAGCUCGCUACACUAUUAUUGACACUGAGGCACGAAAGCGUGGGGAUCAAACAGGAUUAGAUACCCUGGUAGUCCACGCCCUAAACGAUGGAUACUCGACAUCAGCGAUACACUGUUGGUGUCUGAGCGAAAGCAUUAAGUAUCCCACCUGGGAAGUACGACCGCAAGGUUGAAACUCAAAGGAAUUGA
rnacentral:rRNA from 1 species